ACUGCUUGUUCGGUGAUGUGAUCACCCUGACUCGUGUGUCUGGAUGGGAGAAUGAGAUUGGGACGUGGAAGUGUUCUUGGUGCUACAGAGUGCAAGCAGUGCUCGGCAUGUCCUCAACUAUGCCAGGUGCAAUUGUUAGAUUCCUUCCCUUUGAUUUCGUCACAGUUAUCUAGAGCCUAACGCUUUCAUAGCAAUGACUACGUUUCUGAAUAUAUACUUAAUUUAUUUAAUUACGGUGAUUUACUAAAUCAAUUUCCUAAGUAAAUCAAUUUAAUUAAAUAAAUUAAAAGUGUAUUUAGACGUACAGUUGUUGCUAUUAAAAGAGGUCUUGUAAUUUAGCAUCUUCUUCCAUUUUUAAUGGUCCUCAGAUUUUGAAUUUUUCCCAAAUGGGGCUUUUAUAGUUAAAUUUAAAAAACCUGACAGUUCAUUUUUUUAUUUUAUUUUUUUUUUGCUGGGGGUAAUCAUAUAAAGAGUACAUAGAAGGCUAAGUAUCUUGAGAAAUCUUAUACUUGCUAAUUUUGUGUAUGUCAGGUUUUAUACUUUAAACAUAUUUGUUGAAACAAUGCAUUACGUCGAAUUUUGGAAAUAAACAUUUACAUAUGAGGCUACUUUGGAUUUGAAAGCUAUGUCUUGUUAAGUAAUAUAUUUAUCUUGAAAAAGAAAGUCGAGAGUAGCAGAAGUUCAAAACCUUUUAGGGACUGAAAAGUGUUAAUUCUAUACUACCUAAAGGUGGAUAAAUAGCUCCUCUUCACUUUUGUAAUUCAUGGCUAUAAUUAUGUUUCUUCCAAAGUUUUAUAUGAAGUUUGUCAAAAUGUAAUUUUUUUUCAGAAAAAUACCAGUUCAGUGUUAGGUAGCCAAGAGGACAGAUGAAUAAAAAUCAACAACUGUGUACAUGAUAUAAAAGUAUGUGCAAAUAUGUAAGAUUCAUGCCAUUUUUCAUGAGAAAUGUAUUUUGUGUGUUUCUUGUACAGUCACUGAACUUUGUGUAACCUGAUGUAAAUGACAUAGCCUUAAUUUCUAGGAAAUGUUUAAUUAGCAGAUGGUUUACACUCACUGAUACUUGGCCAUCAUCAUUGUACAUAAUGACAAUUUGGAGAAGAAUUGUCGUAUAUAAUUUGAGAAAGAAUUAUAUUGGUGAAAAGUUCAAAACCAGAAUGAUGUGAUGUUUAAACAACUUAUUUAGGGAGUCGGAGGAGGCAGAGUCAACACUUUGUUUUCCCAUAUUCCCUAAGGUUUAUUCACUGUUUGCUCUUUAAACGGACAUCUUAUUUUAGUAAGGACUUUUUUUUCCUUUGAAGAGAGAAGGUUGAAGUUUAAGGGUUCAUGUCUUUUGUUCCCUUGUUUUUCUCUCCAUCCCAACAACCCACCAGUCAUGCAUUACUCCCCUCAUCUUUCUUCCUGUUCAUUCUUUUUUUAAAUUAAGAAAACUUUUUUUUGCUUUUCAAAGUGAGAGUUAGAGAAUUAUUCCACCACAGUUACAUAGAGUAACAUUUCUUUCUUUGGAUUAUUUUUGGAGAACUUAAAAAGAAACAAAAAUAAUACUGCACAAAAAAAGUUAUAUCAUAAAUCAUAAACUAUCACAGAAAUUUAUUUCAAAAAGAACUAAACAUUUCUACUUAAGACAUCCACGGGACAGCUAACAUAAGGAUUGCAGUCAGUUCAAAGGUAAGCCCUUUAAUUUAUAUUCAAAUUAAGUCAAUAUUCAUAUUUAAUAAGAAGAACUGAUCAUUUCACCAACCUUUAUCAUUAGCAGGAAUAUACAUUUUAUUCAGUACCAGAAGCUGUUUGCAGAUCCAUUCUUAAUUAUGCAAAAAACCCUUAUAACACAGGUAAUGGAGAAAUAUAUGGAGGGGAAGGGAAAAAAAAACCCCAGAUGACAAAAUCCUGUAUUUUCUAGACCGGCUGAAAUAAUUUUAUUAUACCUUUUGGGACAUACCUACAGUGAGCACAUACUGAAUGUUAAAGAAGAACUGGCAAUCUUACAUAUAUAUUUGUGGAGUCCCCAGAUGCGACUGUCAUUAAUAAUUAAGGCACAUCAUUAUAAUUUCAGUGGAUUUUGCAGACCCGUCAAGCCUGGUUCAGGCACAGAUGAGACUGAUGCCCAAUCUAAGGUGGGCAGUGAGACCUUGUCAGAAUAUGAUGAAGAGGGGACAAAGGUUCAAGUGUGAAAUGCAGACUUGAU